rnacentral:rRNA from 1 species
AUUCCAGCUCCAAUAGCGUAUAUUUAAGUUGCUGCAGUUAAAAAGCUCGUAGUUGGAUUUCGGGUGGGAAUGGCCGGUCCGCCGUUUCGGUGUGCACUUGCUACGCCCACCUUGCUGCCGGGGACGUGCUCUUGAGUUUGCGCUCGGGACACGGAGUCGGCGAGGUUACUUUGAGUAAAUUAGAGUGUUCAAAGCAGGCCUACGCUCUGAAUACAUUAGCAUGGAAUAACACGAUAGGACUCUGGCCUAUCUUGUUGAUCUGUAGGACCGGAGUAAUGAUUAAGAGGGACAGUCGGGGGCAUUCGUAUUUCAUUGUCAGGGGUGAAAUUCUUGGAUUUAUGAAAGACGAACUACUGCGAAAGCAUUUGCCAAGAUGUUUUCAUCG